rnacentral:rRNA from 1 species
AUGAGGGGAGGAAACUCAAAUGAAUAUUGCAGUUGCCAGGUGUGCCUCGGCAAGUACACACUACUUGGCGAUGAAGAAAAUCCAAGAUUGGCAAUGUUCAAAAGACGCCUUCCCUUCUUUGGUUGUGGAAUUGGAUGGUGUUGUUUUCUUUUAGGUUUCCUGUGCCCGUUAAUUUGGUACAUAGCAGCUCUUCUUUAUUGCUGCAAGUACUACAACCGUGAUCCUCGAGAACGGCCUGGGCUUGCCGCUUCUGCUCUUCUGGCAAUCAUGUUUACAGCAGCGACUAUCAUUACCCUUUCUGUUUUACUGGUAAUGUGUACACACAAACGGUUCUUGAAUAGCUGUGGUAGCUGA